rnacentral:rRNA from 1 species
GAUGAACGCUGGCGGCGUGCAUAACACAUUCAAGUCGAACGGUGAUGAGGACUUCGGUCCUCUGAUCAGUGGCGGACGGGUGAGUAACGCGUGAGCAACCUGCCCUUGUGUGGGGGAUAACGUCCGGAAACAGACGCUAAUACCGCAUAACGUGUCGGAACCGCAUGAUUCUGACACCAAAGAUUUCUUGCGCAAGGAUGGGCUCGCGUUGGAUUAGAUAGUUGGUGGGGUAAAGGCCGACCAAGUCAAAGAUCCAUAGCCGGGCUGAGAGGUUGAGCGGCCACAUUUGAACUGAGAAACGGUCCAGACUCCUACGGGAGGCAGCAGUGGGGAAUAUUGGGCAAUGGGCGAAAGCCUGACCCAGCGACGCCGCGUGAGGGAAGAAGGUCUUCGGAUUGUAAACCUCUGUUGUAAGGGAAGAAACAAAUGACGGUACCUUACGAGGAAGCCACGGCUAACUACGUGCCAGCCGCCGCGGUAACAC